GUUUCAGCUAGCGCGCUGGCUGCAGCUGAUUUGCAAACAUCAGGUUUAGGCGACGUCACCGUUUGUGCCGAAACUUGAGUGUAACGUGCAAGUCUUGAUUGCAAACUUGACAUGGGACACUUUUGUUUUCUUCUCAUUCUGAACCUGAACCACAAGGCAGACACC